AUAUCAAUAAGCGGAGGAAAAGAAACCAACAGGGAUUGCCCCAGUAACGGCGAGUGAAGCGGCAACAGCUCAAAUUUGAAAUCUGGUCCUCACGGGCCCGAGUUGUAAUUUGUAGAGGAUGCUUUUGGUGAGGCACCGCCCGAGUUCCCUGGAACGGGACGCCACAGAGGGUGAGAGCCCCGUCUGGCUGGAUGCCGAGCCUCUGUAAAGCUCCUUCGACGAGUCGAGUAGUUUGGGAAUGCUGCUCAAAAUGGGAGGUAUAUGUCUUCUAAAGCUAAAUAUUGGCCAGAGACCGAUAGCGCACAAGUAGAGUGAUCGAAAGAUGAAAAGCACUUUGAAAAGAGGGUUAAACAGUACGUGAAAUUGUUGAAAGGGAAGCGCUCGUGACCAGACUUGGGCUUGGCGAAUCAUCCGGCGUUCUCGCCGGUGCACUUCGCCUCGUCCAGGCCAGCAUCAGUUCGCGCCGGGGGACAAAGGCUUCGGGAACGUAGCUCCUCCGGGAGUGUUAUAGCCCGUCGCGCAAUACCCUGGGGCGGACUGAGGUUCGCGCAUCUGCAAGGAUGCUGGCGUAAUGGUCAUCAGCGACCCGUCUUGAAACACGGACCAAGGAGUCGUCUUCGUAUGCGAGUGUUCGGGUGUCAAACCCCUACGCGUAAUGAAAGUGAACGCAGGUGAGAGCUUCGGCGCAUCAUCGACCGAUCCUGAUGUUCUCGGAUGGAUUUGAGUAAGAGCAUACGGGGCCGGACCCGAAAGAAGGUGAACUAUGCCUGUAUAGGGUGAAGCCAGAGGAAACUCUGGUGGAGGCUCGCAGCGGUUCUGACGUGCAAAUCGAUCGUCAAAUAUGGGCAUGGGGGCGAAAGACUAAUCGAACCUUCUAGUAGCUGGUUUCCGC
rnacentral:rRNA from 1 species